UCCUCGGGAGGCACCCCGUACAGAAUGUACCUAAACGGAGCCAAGUCCGACAGAGCACCGCCGCGUGAGUGAAGAAGGGUUUCGGUUGGUAAAGAUCUGUUGUUAAAGAAGAACGUGGGUGAGAGAUAUUGUUCACCCAGUGACGGUAUCCAACCAGAAAGCCCCGGCUAAUUCCGUGCCAGCACCCGCGUUAAUACGUAGGUGGCAAGCGUUAUCCGGAUUUAUUGGGGGUAAAACGAGCGCAGGCGGUGUUUUUAGUAUAAUGUGAAAACCUUCGGCUCAACCGAAGAAGAUCAUAGGAAACUGGGAGACUUGAGUGCAGAAGAGGACAGGGGAACUCCACGUGUAGCGGUGAAAUGCGUAGAUAUAUGGAGGAACACCAGGGGGGAAGGGGGCUCUCUGGUCAAAAACUGACGCUGAGGCUCGAAAGCA
rnacentral:rRNA from 1 species